ACUCAGAUAUGUGGCAGUAAGAAAACACUACUCUGAAGUUCAGCAUUAACUUAUUUAAAGAAAGAAAUGCUUUCUGAGCAUAAGCUUUGAGUAAAAAAUCCUGUUUAUUUUUGUUAUUCUCCAGUUUUACAAAUAUCUUUCAAGGAAUUUAUAUAGUUAUUUUCUUCUCUGGUAUGAGUGCAGCUUCAUGUACACUUCCUGCUUGAACUGGUGGACAUUGCAAGGUUAGCACAGGACAAGCAACAUGCACCUUUCAACAGAGAUGGUCAAGAGUGCUGCUUCACACAAUGGACACAGCUGUGUGGGAGGAAUAUCAUUAACCUGGCUUGCUCACUCCUCUCAGGUCCUGUUGCUGGUCAACAGAGAGAAGAUUUAAUGCUGCUGGUGUUGAUUGCUUCACUUUUGAACUAGUCUGUGUUUGUAGUGAUUCUAAGAAGAAACUGAUCUGUUCAAGUACAGGCAGAAAGAAAUGAAAGAUUCUCUGUAAUGAUUCUGCUUUCAUUCUAACAUAUCAGUAGAGGAGAUAUGCUCUGAUAUGCAGGAGAUGAUGGGAAAAUCAGGCCUGAACACACACAAAGGUGUUACAGAAUUUGUGGCAUAUAUUAGAGGAUUAAUUUGAAACAUUUUUUCUCCCUGAGCUUCAGCUGUGAAACUAUACUGACUUGCACCCUUGAAGAUGUUGUAUCAUGGAUGUUGACCCAUAUGUCACCAUUCCUGUGUGCAGACAAGGAAUACACUCAGUGAAAGCUUGAAGAGGAAAAUUCCUUCUUUCAAAAUGAUGAUAUGAAAACAAUCAAACAACUUGAAUGGAUUUGAGUUAAUGAAAUCUCUGAUAAAGAGGUAAAGUCUUUACAGAUCCUUGAAACUAGUCUGCCUCCCUAUGUGUAUGUGAGAACAAGAAACAGAGAGAUGGUAAUGAACCACAGAGCAGGUGGGAAUCCAGUUUCUCCCUUUAUUUUGUUACCUGAGCUAAGUGGUUUCAUAGUUGCUUGGGUAUUUCUGCAUGAUGAUGCAACCUAUUGUAUACCCUUAAGUCACUUUGUGCCUUCUGUAUGAUUCUAUUUUCAUAGUACUGGAUUCAUACGUACUGGAUUUUUUUUCUUUAUAUCAUUGAAAGUAACUUUUCUCUAGAGAUGAAAAUGUACAAUUUAAUUGAUAAUUUAAUUGCCAUGCUUUAAGAAUAAGAAACAAAGAGAUAAAGUAUUAUUAAGAUCAAAUCUUAUCAGGAGAUCAAAUCUUAAAAGCUUUAAACUUACAUUAAAUUUCUAAGAUAAAUAUUGACUGACUGUAUUACUAAAGUUUUUUGUUUGGUGUUUGGUUUUGGGUUGGUUUGGUUUUUAGCACAAACAGCUCACAAACUUCUUGGUACAAAUCUUCAGGUAUUUUAUGAACUGCUGAAUUCAAUAGCUUAGAGUCAAGUCUGCAAAUUACAAGUUCAUGCCAUCCAGAGGGGACCAAAUAAUAUAUCACCAAAGUGGGAGUCAGGUUGAUAUGCUUGUGUAACUUAGGAGGGAACCACAUAGCAAUGAGAGGAGUUAAAACACACAGACUGUAACAAUAAAGGGUAAAUCAAGAUUUAAAAAGUCACAUGCCCAUUUAGAUCAAAAUUGACCCCCCGAUCAACAAACUGAAUAUAAUGAAAAUCAGGUUGGAUUUGGAGACAGGGACAGGCAAUAUGAAGGACUGGGAGGUAAAGCAGAAACUCAUGUAAUUCAUAGAUUCACUACAAACCAGUUUACUAAAAUGUACUUGACAUUUAAAAAUCCUAUGGUGAAGUUUCUAUUAAGAAAAGCUGCCAUUUUUAUAAUCAACAGAAUUAUGUUAAAAUCUAUUAUACCUCCAUUUUUUCAAAUGAAGGAAUUAACACUAUCUAAAUCUAGGAAAAAUCUACAAAGGAUAAUUUUUACUCAUUUUUGUUGGUGGUGAUUGCACCUAUGAGAUUCAUUCACCAGAUGAAAGGUGUCUACAGGGUAAAUCUCUGUCUCAUAGAAUCAUAGAAUAGUCCAGGUUGGAAGAGAACUUAAAGACCAUCUAGUUCCAAACCCCCUGCCAUCGGCAGGGACACCUCCCACUACAUCAGAUUUCUCAAAGCCUCAUCCAACCCAGCCUUGAAGACUUCCAGGGAUUGGGCAUCCACAGCUUCUCUGGACAACAUGUUCUAGUGCCUCACCACCUUCCGAGUGAAGAAUUUCCUCUUUAAGCUAAACCCAUCCUCUUUGCAUUUAAAGCUAUUACCUCUUGUCCUAUCACUACAGAUCUAAGUUUGCCUCUUAAGUAUUUUUCAAUUUAUUGAAAACAAAGUAAUUCUAUUAUAUGAUCAUUCUAAUACUUCCAUGCUCAUCUUGUGCUGGGGGCCCCAGAGCUGAACAUAGUACUCCAGGUGUUGUCUCAUGAGAACAGAGCAGAGAGGAGAAUCACCUACCUCUAACAGGAUAUGGUUGGCUUUCUGGGCUGCAAACACAUUACUGAGUCAUGCUGAGCUUCUCAUUAACCAACACCCUUCUCAUCAGGGAUGCUCUCAAUCCAUUCAUCACACAGCCUGUGUUUGUGGCUGGAAUUGACCCAACCCAGGUGUAGGACCUUGUACUUGACCUUGUUGAAUUUCAUGAAGUUCGCACAGGCCCGCCUUUUAAGCCUGUUCAGUCCCUCUGGAUGGCAUCCCUUCCCUCCAGUGUGUCCAUCCCACUACACAGCUUGGUGCCAUCGACAAACUUGCUGAGGGUGCACUUGAUCCCAAUGUCCAUGUCACCAGCAAAGAUAUCAAACAGCAUCAGCUCCAAUACCAAAACCUAAGGAACACCACUCGUUACUGAUCUCUGCUUGGACACUGAGUCAUUGACCACAACUCUUUGAGUGCAACCAUCCAGCCAAUUCCUAAACCAGAGUAAUCCAUCUGCCAAAUCCAUGUCUCUCCAAUUUAGAGACAAUAUCAUGAGGGACAGUGUCAAAUACUUUGCACAAAUCCAGGUAGAGCAUGUCAGUUGCUCUUCCCCUAUCCACCAAUGCUGUAACCCCGUUGUAGAAGGCCACCAGAAUUUUCAGGUACUAUUGGUCCUUAGUGAAGCCAAGCUGACUGUCAAUCACCUCGUUAUUUUCCACGUGCCUUAGCAGAGUUUUCAAGAGAAUCUGUUCCAUGAUCCUGACAGGCACAAAGGUGAGACUGACUGGCCUGUAGUUCCCAGGUAUACCUUUUUUCACCUUUUUUUAAAUGGGGGUUAUAUUUCCCCUCUUCCAGUCAGUGGGAGCUUCACCAGACUGCCACAACUGCCCAUGAGGGGGUGAUGCCCCUACCUCAUCUCUUCCUAAAGAGCCUGUAUCCUUCUAUGCCAACUCUCCAGUCAUGGGAGCUAUCCCACCACAGGUCUAUAGUGCUAAUGAGGUCUCAGCCUUGUGGGCGUGCAAACAUCUCUAACUCCUCUUUUUUAUUCCCCAUGCUACAUGCAUCAGCAUAGAGACAUUUAAGUUGGGCACCUGAUGAAGCUGAUUUACUGGCUGGAGGGGCUGGAAUUCCUUUGUGCUGUUCUUCAGGUUCUCUCCUGCUGACCUGUGACCCUUCUCCAGGCUCAUCUUCAGUUCAGAUCCUCAAAAGACGUUUAGAUGUAGAGCUUAGGGAUAUGGUUUAGUGGGGACUGUUAGUGUUAGGUUAGAGGUUGGACUCGAUGAUCUUGAGGUCUCUUCCAACCUAGAAAUUCUGUGAUUCUGUGAUUCUGUGAUCUAUCACUGACACUGGCAUCAAACUGGGAGGAGUGGGAUGGAUUAAGGUUCCUCUCCCAUGGCAAUUUUAGUUUAAACUUAAUGUAAAGCCCUCUUCAUCAAAUUGGCAAGCAUAUGGCCAAAGAUGAUCUUCCCCUUCUCUGAUGGAUGGACCCCAUCAGCUGCCAGUAGACCAGGUUUCUCAGAGUCCCAUGGUCUAAGUAGCCCCUCAUGGUCUAAGGAUCCUUGAUCCAAAGUACUGAUUAGGCAUUUGAGUAAUAAUAAUUAAUAAUAAUAAAAAAAUUAGUUUAAACAUCAAACAAAAAGAUAGGUGGGGAAUGGAAUUAACUCCAUGGCAAUAUGAGGAUCUGAACUGAAUGUUUCAAAACUGAUUUUUAAAUAGGGAAAAAUAGCCAGAAUAUUAUAUUCCCAGAAGGAAAAACACCUAAGCAUCUGGUGACUGCUUCACAUGCUUAUACUAAUUAAGCAUGUCCACAAUGAGGUAACUGAGUAGCCAGGAAAUUUUGAAGAUUGUUGUCAGCAGCCUCAUGAAAAAGCCAGUCUAUAAAGAUUGAUUUUAUAUCAAACUUCCAUACCAUAAUGAAAAGUUAUAUCCAGUAUUGAUAAUGGAGUGUGAGACAUCUUCAUUUCUUUAUUCCAGCAAGUGAAUCACUUUGUUUCUCUCACUCCAUGCCAUAUGUAAGGAGCCAAAUUAUAGCCAAAGGUUCUAGUUAAGUGAAACAUUGUCUUAAUCUUACUGGUACUCUAUCAUAAUACAUUUGUUAAUAGGAAACUGGCAUUUAUCUCUGUGAGUGAUAAUUGAUAUAUUGAUCAUUUAAGACUUCACCUUACCGCAAGCCAUCACACCAAAAUCUGUUCAUUUGGAAAUAACAUGUCAUACCAUGUUACACAGUGUAUUCAUCCAGUCUUGGCAAGUGAGCAGGUGAAAAGAUAAAUUAUUGACAGCAUCUUAGAAUUAGUUUGGUUUUCUCAGAUAAAACAAAGGGAAAAAUCCACAUCUGUGUUCUUAACAUACAUAUUUGCUCUCAUACAUCAAAUGUAUUUCUAUUAACUGAUGAGAUUAGAUGUAGACUGCUUUUAAUCUGAAAGAGAAAUCUUAGUGGUAAAUAUGAUUCCAAUGUGAGUAAAAUUAAACACCACUACCUUUAUUAUCACUGGACAUUUUACCUGAUUUGGAGGGAAUGGGAGGAGUGGGGAGAGCAAGUAUUUGCCAAAUUUACCAAUAGUGGUGAAGAAUUAUUACGUAAUAGGGAAAAAAUAUGUACGAUAUGUCCAGUGCCAAAGAUGGUAAAAGAUUUUAUGCAAGAAAAAUAUGAAACCUGGUGUUUUCUUACUUAUUUGAUGGCCUUACCUGAAAAUGAUCAUUUAUGGUUUGUAUCUUAUAUACUUGUGUGACAUUAUAGUCCUUCAAUGCAUUAGAAGUAUGCAGAGCAUAAUGUCUGAAACUUUUUGAAAUGUAAUACGAUUUUAUAUUUGAGAUAAUAUUAAGCAAUAUUAAGCAAAAAACUUUUCUAAAUUAAAGGGAAAAGUAUGGCUUGGGUCAAAUACUACACACUCAGGGUAUAGUAUGUAAAUAACAUUAUUUUAAAAACUUUUUUUGUCUUUGUUGAAACAAUCUGAUAUAAGUCAGACCACAGAACAGGUUACUCUAACUCAUACCAGGUUUCUUUCCUGUGGGAGCAAAUUAUAGGUAUGGGGUUCAGUUAAAUAAGAAUAAACAAUGUUUUCCACUAGACAUUGACCAGUUCUCAUACAGCUCCCCACAGAAAAUGACAAGAAAGGUUUGAGUGUCAUCUACUUCUUCAUGCAUAUCAUAUAAAUCAUAAAUCUGGACCUUUCUAUGUGCACUAUAACUAACCAUCUCCAGUGUUAUCCUUGCAUUCACCAGGUCUGGAUUUCAUUCAUAUGUUCUUGGAAAUAGAGCAAUAUGUGAAAAUAAGUUGUUCCAACUCUGUCAUCAGCUUCUGGAAACUAAGCAGCAAAUAAAGUUACCAAGCUAGCCUGUGUAAUAAUAACUCCUCAUAAACAUCAACAGAAUGACAUUCAUACCUGGUCCUUUUCUUGCAGUCAUAUACUAUACAACGGAUCUGGCGUAAUGGAAUCAUAGAAUAUAUUUGUUUUUUCCUUCAUGGAGAUUAUACCUACAUCAUUAUUCCUACUGUCUGUCAGUUUUGAUGUCACUUCAGAAAAUAUUUGAAAACAGAGAAACACAGCCCAAGUAAACAGCUGUAGAUACACAGGCUUAGUUACCAAAUGCCCCUUUCAUUCCCUUAACAGCUGUUCCCACAACCUACUCAUUUCACUACGGUGACUUAAUAGCUUCCUUUCCAGGUGCAGCAGUAACAAUGACAAAUUUGGCAAGCCAAAUUUCCCACAAUUAACAAACGUGUCUCACCACCUCUGGCUAUGGCUCAGGCCACUGAAGACUCCACCAGUGUACAAUAAACAAGCAGAAAUAAAUGUGCCAUUCUGGACCAAUGCCUCCCACUUCUCAAAUUUGGCUUUUACUGCAAUAUCUUGAAGACCAAAUAGCAACAUUUUAUACCACAUCUGAAAUACAUUUUAUUUCAGCUGAUAUUAAUUUGCUUUAACAUUGAGUAGGUGGUGUACCUUGAAGAAAGUACAAAACCAAAGAAUAAAUAGUUCAAUAAAUAUUUACCAGUACUUUUUUACCAGUACUAAAUAAAACCAGUACUUUUUCUGUAUCACUGCACAAAUUCUUCUAAUCAGUCUCUGAUUUGUAAGACAAGACCAAAAAAAUUUUAAAUGCACUUUGUCAGGUCUUAGAGAACCGAGAGAUACCUCUGACAAGAAUGCAAGAAUGCAGAGAAUGAUGGUCCUAUACUAUUCCUACAAACCACAUGAAAGUGCAUUAUAGGCACUUUUUUUUUUCUCACUGCAAGCUUAUUUCAGGUCACCUUAUGCAAUAACUUUCCGGCCUGAUAGGGUGUCACACUGCUUUUCAUACUUGGACAACUUCACUGACUUCAGGGAGUUCAUUCUGAUUUACACCCGUGUAAUGGAGCACAAGAUCAGGCAGCUGUUCUUUCCCAGGAGACAAGAAUUAACAUUCCAAUUUCAGGGAAAAUCUAUUGCAGGCCAAGUAAAGACCUUGCAAUGUCUUGAUGUUAAUGUGCUGUAUCCUCUCCAUGCUAAUCAUACCAGAACAGAGUUUCAGAUGAUGGAAAUAGUUGUAGCUUCAAAAUUUCACCUGAGUUAUACCAUUCUCACUAGCUGAAGAUCCAGCCAGUCACUGUAGUAUACUGUAGUACUACACAGUACUGUACAGUACACAGCACAACAGAAGGUGUCUAAUCAAUUUUUUACAUAACUAAAUGGGGAAAAAUAUAUUAAUGGAACAUUAUGGUGGUAGUGUCAUGUACACAAUAGACAACACACUUAAAAUUAUAGCCCCCCCCCCAAGCAAUGUUAAUUCAGCUGCUAUUAAAGCAUUAAAAAUAAUAUAAUGUGCUGCAAAACAGAAUACAGCAUAUAUGCCAGGGGACUGAGAUAUCAUCACAGAGGGAACUGUAACUUUUAAUUUGCUGAUUCUGGUGAGCAUAAAAUCUAACCCUUGGCAUUAUUUUCCAUGUCUUACUUUUAUCAUUUCACCUCUUUAGUUUUGCUGCAGUUAAUUAUUUGUAAUUUAGGAUGGAAAACAUUAUCUGUUGAUCCCAUACACUUUAUCUCCAGCUCUUGAGAGAGAAAUUUCUUUGAUGUAAAAAUAAGUUACACAAUAUGAACAUGAACAAAUUCGCAAAUCAACAACACCAAACACUAGAAUACAGUUCUGAGCAGAAAAGCUAAAGUUAUAUGGCCCUCCUCAAGUCAAGAUCCUACCAGUAAAAAAAAUUAAUUCUUAGAGGCCAAUGGUAUGAUUUUUUUUUUUUCUAAAUUGUCAUUAGUGACAAUUCAAGGUCCAGGAAAUUCACUGCCAAAAUCAAAGUAAUUUAAAUUUAACCUUUACAGAUUUCAGAAAAUAGUCAUAGAAGACAUUAGAUUCUAUUACUAGUAUGUAAUAGAAUCACACUUCUAUACUAUUUCCUCUAAGUCCCAUUUGCACUGAAGAUUGUACGAAAAUAUUUAUGACUUAAAAUGGUACGUAGUUAUGUGGCUACCAUUUAUGUUGAAGAAAAUUUCAAUAAAAUGUGUUUUUAUUGUGGAAAGAAAAACAUGGAAACUUAUAUGGAACAUCGUGUGGUUUGCAUGCACAAAAAACUCUCAGAGAAUCAGCACUCCUUAUAUCUUUUAUCCAAAGCAGCCUUAAGCAAAGAUAAACAACCUUUUAUAAGUUAAAAAAGAAUUGAUUCAGUUCAGUGAAGUGAUGGAUGAUAUAGGGCUACAAGGUAACUAAUUAUUAACUGUAACAUUAAACAAGUAGUUAACAAAGAUUAAUCUUCAAGUCAGUUUACAACAAGCACAGAUAACUCAUUAGAUGAUUAUUUUUUUUCUUUGUGCCGGAAUAAUAGGAAUGAUGCACAACUCUCAUUAAUGAGGAUGUUAUUUCCUCUCUGCGUGAAGACUUUUGAAAUUUUUUUGUUUGAACAUCAUGUUUGAUAUGCACAGAAAAGGCUAUGAAGCAGAUGGAUCUUAAUUGGACAAGCAACUAGAAUUUAGAGUUAAACAUGAAUUACUAAUUAGUUUUCUUUUUUAAGAUUAACCUUUUCUAUAUUGCUCUGCAGGACUGUAAUUUCCUAUUAAAAUCAUGAUUUUGUCAUGUUGAUAAGAUAUUGACUCAAUGUUUAUUCAAUAAAAUUUGUUUUAAAAUAUUAAAUAUGGAAAUCCAUGUAAUAUUAUAGACUCUUUCAAAGUUCUGCUGAAACAUAUGCUUGGCACGUGGAACAAAAUAUAGCUUUGAAAAAUUAUUGUCUUCUGAAAUGUUGUAUUUGUUUUGAACCAUAAAAUGGUUUUAAAAUAUCACUCAAAUACUAUAUUUACAAAACUUUAUUUUCCCAGAGGUUUUCCUUUACUACUUAAAUCUAGAUAUGGAAAUUCGUCUUUAAAAAAAAUAAAUUAAGAAUCUUUCUUUCAAGAGAAAUAAUCACAACAGUAUGAUUCCAUUAACAGGAAGGAUAGAUUGCUUUUUUUUCCAGUCUCAAAAUGCAAAUAUAAAUACAUGAUAAUAAAUAGGUUGUGUCUACGAACAUCAAGAAAUAACUCCACAUCACAGCAACAUCUUUCAGUAGUACUCUUCUGUCAAGAGAAGGCAUUACAAUAAAUUUAUCCAGUUUUAGAUCCUUAUUCAGAGUAUUUUGCUGUUUUUCUUCUUUGUACAUUUUCAAAUGAACAGAAGAAUCAAUGACUCUCAUUUUAUUCUAAAGACAAUUUGUCAUGUCUGAAUAAUAAAAGUUUAGGAAACAGUUCCUAUCAGUCCAUUCUUUAAUUAAUUUUAAGUUAAAAUAAAACUAUAGAAAAAUAUUCUCUACAGAUUUAUGACCUAGACAAUUCAGUUUUUCUCUUAGGUAUAUGGCCCCUCUCCAGAUAUGCUUCAAAUUUAUUCUCAGAAGCCACCUUUCAUUUAAGAUUAUCUUGAAUUUAGUCUUAACCUUGAGGUCAAGCUGAAAAACACAUCAACUGAGAAAAAUAAGCAUGAAUGAGUGAUGUGCGUUUCAGUAAAUCUGUUGUGUGCUCAUCAGGUAGCUAAAAUCUAGCAGGCUGAAUCUGAAGUCAUUCUUUCUACUUCUGAGUCUUCAGUGAGUGAUCUAGAAAACUAGAAUAUUAUUAUAUAUCUGAAAUGAAAAUAAAAUCACUCGUUUUUUGAGGUAAAUCUGUAUCCACAACUUUAACUUCACUUUUCAAAGGACACAGAACAUUAAAUGGUGUCAUUAUGUAGAUGCAAUAUCCUUUACCCAACAGAGUGUGACCACUGAUAUCCUACAGAGUUUCAAUCUUAUGAGUCAAGAAAGAGUUAUUUGGGCUUGUCUCGGAGUAUUCAAGUAACUAUCAACCAUCUGUAGGACGUAUAAAAGCAUAUGCAUUUUCUUACAAGAAAAAACAAAGGUCUCUAGUUUAGUGUUCUCUGGCCAAUAGACAAGGCCAAUGGAAAGGAACCAAAUUCUAGAUAUUUUUCCCAUCCAUCACAAGGAUAGAUGCCCCAUCCCUGGAGGUGUUCAAAACCAGGCUGGAAGAGGCCAUGGGCAACCUGAUACAGGUGACAUCCCUGUCUAUGGCAUGGGGGCUGGAAAUAGAUCAUCUAUAAGGUCCCUUCCAACCCAAGCCAUUCUAUGAUUCUAGUAGGUGAACUUCCCAAACCUGAUUUCAAAUUUUAACAUGAUGUUCUUUGUUUUUAUUCUCUGUGCACCUUACUUAGUUUUACUAUCCAAAAUAUCCUGUGGCAAACCUCUCAUUUUGACCACAUACCAUGCAAAACAAUUACUAUUACUUGUUGUUUUGAAUAAGGUGAGAACUAUUGUUCCUUGUUCACAUUUUCCACAAUCCUCACAAUUCUACAGACUUCUGCUGUACUUCCCUCCCUCAUCAGUCUUCUUUUUUCUUGCAGGGGAUCCUUCAUAAAGAAAAAACAUACCAUGCCUUUGAUCAGCUUGUUAACCUUCUCUCUUUCCAUUUUUAAUUUUUUACAUGGAGGACUCAGGAAGCACAUAUCAUUCAGGAAUGUUCACCAUUGGUUUACACAGUUAUUUUAAUUAUAUUUUGGCUUUCAA